UAUUAAAAAUUUCAUCAAUUUUUACUGUUAAAAAUUGACGUGGUUGAUGAAACAACUAGACAAUUACCUAGUGCAUGUCAUGUUGACAUAUAAAGGUAAAUUUUUAACAAUGAAAAUGAAAGUUUUUAACA
rfam:Gossypium raimondii Chr07_contig_1323, whole genome shotgun sequence.